rnacentral:lncRNA from 1 species
GGUGGAUUGUUGUAGGUGAAUUUGGGUGGAGGUUGUAGGUGAAUUUGGAUGGAUUGUUGUAGGUGAAUUUGGGUGGAGGUUGUAGGUGAAUUUGGAUGGAUUGUUGUAGGUGAAUUUGGGUGUAUGUUGUAGGUGAAUUUGGGUGGAGGUUGUAGGUGAAUUUGGGUGGAUUGUUGUAGGUGAAUUUGGGUGUAUGUUGUAGGUGAAUUUUGGGUGGAGGUUGUAGGUGAAUUUGGGUGGAUUGUUGUAGUUUUAAUGCAAUGGUCAACAUUUAUUUCACUAAAAUUUCAAUGUUUACAAAUGUAAUUUUAAUGCGAUGGCUAAC